UUGCGAAAAUUGUUAUCAAUAUUUUAGCACGUGUUUAAGUACACAGUAAAAACAGUUAAUUUCUUUUAUUUAUUGUUGAAAUUUAACAAAAAAUAAAAUGUCAUUAAAUAAAGAACGCAGUAAAAAUUUUCCAAAUGACUCCGAUGGCCCGAAUCUGUCAAUAAUUCGACGAAAACCAAAACUAAAUAAAUUUACAAAAUUACUGCUGGACCUUCUGCAACUUGAAUUACAAUUAACAACAGCUGUGCUGGAAAAAGUUGGAGAAGACAAAAUUUCAGAACCAGUAAAAAUCGAUUUGGAGUUGACUUUUGACGAAGAUGGAAAGUGCUUAUCGAUUGAAGAACACAAAAAAUGACGAUUUUUCAGAAUUUACCGGAACUCAGAUAACGAAAGUAACGCAAUUGGGACAAAGAAAUUUCACCCAGACACAAAAAAUUUGUUAUUUAGUUUAAUCAUUUAUUUAUUAUCUCAUUAUAAAAUCUUUUCUUACAAAACUAUGGAAAUAUUUACUUUGUUAUCAAAAUAUUAAAUAUUUUUUUUUGUUUCCAUCACAAUAGGAAGCUGAUUGCUGUUUA